rnacentral:rRNA from 1 species
AUGGCGGUCGUCGAGCCGGUGCCCGGGGGCGACGUGAAGCUAUUCAACCGCUGGACCUUCGAGGAUGUUCAGGUGAGCGACAUCUCGCUGAACGACUACCUCGCGGUGACGUCGAUGAAGCACUACACCUUCCUGCCGCACUCGGCCGGCCGCUACUCGGCCAAGCGCUUCCGCAAGGCGCAGUGCCCCAUCAUCGAGCGCCUCACCAACUCCCUCAUGAUGCACGGGCGCAACAACGGUAAGAAGAUCAUGGCCGUCCGCAUCAUCAAGCACACCAUGGAGAUCAUCCACCUCCUCACCGACGCCAACCCCAUCCAGAUCAUCGUUGACGCCAUCAUCAACAGUGGUCCACGUGAGGAUGCUACCCGUAUUGGGUCUGCUGGUGUUGUGAGGAGGCAGGCUGUGGAUAUCUCCCCCCUGAGGAGGGUGAACCAGGCCAUCUACCUUCUGACCACUGGUGCCAGGGAGAGCGCCUUCAGGAAUGUCAAGACCAUUGCUGAGUGCCUCGCUGAUGAGCUGAUCAAUGCUGCCAAGGGCUCAUCCAACAGCUAUGCCAUCAAGAAGAAGGACGAGAUUGAGCGUGUUGCCAAGGCUAACCGUUAA